rnacentral:rRNA from 1 species
UGGGGAAUUUUGGACAAUGGGCGAAAGCCUGAUCCAGCAAUGCCGCGUGUGUGAAGAAGGCCUUCGGGUUGUAAAGCACUUUUGUCCGGAAAGAAAUCCUUGGCUCUAAUACAGUCGGGGGAUGACGGUACCGGAAGAAUAAGCACCGGCUAACUACGUGCCAGCAGCCGCGGUAAUACGUAGGGUGCAAGCGUUAAUCGGAAUUACUGGGCGUAAAGCGUGCGCAGGCGGUUUGCUAAGACCGAUGUGAAAUCCCCGGGCUCAACCUGGGAACUGCAUUGGUGACUGGCAGGCUAGAGUAUGGCAGAGGGGGGUAGAAUUCCACGUGUAGCAGUGAAAUGCGUAGAGAUGUGGAGGAAUACCGAUGGCGAAGGCAGCCCCUGGGCCAAUACUGACGCUCAUGCACGAAAGCGCGGGGAGCAAACAGGAUUAGAUACCCUGGUAGUCCACGCCCUAAACGAUGUCAACUAGUUGUUGGGGAUUCAUUUCCUUAGUAACGUAGCUAACGCGUGAAGUUGACCGCCUGGGGAGUACGGUCGCAAGAUUAAAACUCAAAUGAAUUGACGGGGUCAUAGCUGUUUCCU